rnacentral:rRNA from 1 species
UACGAGAGGCCCAAACGUUAUUCGGAAUCACUGGGCUUAAAGGGCGCGUAGGCGGGCUGCCAAGUCAAGGGUGAAAGCCCCCGGCUCAACCGGGGAAGUGCCUCUGAUACUGGCGGCCUCGAGGGAGGUAGGGGCGUGCGGAACUUCCGGUGGAGCGGUGAAAUGCGUAGAUAUCGGAAGGAACACCGGUGGCGAAAGCGGCGCGCUGGACCUCUUCUGACGCUGAGGCGCGAAAGCCAGGGGAGCGAACGGG